UGGGGGGGCCGGGGGGGGGUGGCACCCGAUGAUCCAGGAUAACCUGCAGCCCAGCAUCCUAAACUGAGCCCCUGCCGACCUGCCCCGUAUGACGCUAAGUGCACACCUUCCAGGGGUGGGACGGAGGCCUUUGGGGGCUGCCAUUCAGCUGCCCCCACCCCGAGAUGACUCCUACGCUGUCUUAAUGCUGGUUUUGAUUUUUUAAUAUUGUUUCAGCCUCUCACAGUCUCUGGGCCUCAGUUUCCCUGGUUGUAAAAUGAACAUUUGCCCCAGCACGUGGGCCCAGGGCCUCCCCAAGCCAACAGUGUGAGGGGCCAGCGCCCAGGGCUUGGGUGCCAGCCCAGCAGGGGACCCCACCUCCUGUCCACCCCGGAUUCUGCGCUGUGUUCAGAUGGCUGCUGUUUUUGUGAAAUCCGAGUUGCGCAUGCAUGCGGCUGAGAGGUACAGAGGCCCACCUGCCUACCCUCAGCCCGUGAGCACCAGCGCUGCCACAUAGCACAGGACUCGUGGGUGGCUCCUCGGAAAGCCUCGGUGUCUGUACCCCUGCAGCAGCAAGUGGGGGCACCUGCCGGAACCAUGGCCGCUCCCUGCUCUGGGCUGCAGCCUGCCCGCCUCCUGUGGCCGUGGGAAGCCUUCCUUCCAGGGCAUUGCUCUGGCAGGCAAGGCAUUUGCACCCCAAGACCACAAAUACCUCUGUUUGGUUUGUUAGGGACACAGCACAGGCCAGGCCCGUGGCCAGGGUGGUGGAAUGGCCACUGUGCCCCCUUAUGCCUUACCCCACACACACCUUGGUGGGACAUGGGCUCUGGGGUCUUUCCAGGCCCACAGACCAAGGCCCGAGGACAAAUAAGCCUCGCCCUCUGCAUGCAUCGGAGCAGGUCCGGUCCCUGGGCUGGCCUCUCUGCUCCUGCCUUCCCUCUACAAACACUUCAUAAGACACCCCCCUCACCACCCCUCCCAGCUGCCACGGCCUGCCUCCCCCUUCUUCCCCAGUAGGGCAGAGGUCAGACAGCAGCACUUGCUCCUCCACAGGGGAUGGAAGCAAACUUUCCCACACGAAGGCUGAGCUGAAACCCAAAACCCAAGUGGGACCAGCUCUGCCAGAAGGGGAUGGCAGGGGAGCAGCAGGGCAGGGAGCAGCAGCAUGGCUGGGGAUAUGGGACUUGGCAGUGGGUGCAGCUGAUAGAGCAGCCACGUGGGCCCAGAGCACCGGGAUUUGGGGAUCAGAUGUGGGGCCCCAGCCAUGUGCUGGCUCAGUGGCAGCGCGCAGCAUGAGGAGAGGUGGGAGGCACAUGGUAACCAGGAAGAGGGGCCACCACCCCGUGACACCUGCUGCCCGGGGCAGUCCUUGCACCCACUGGAGGGUGAGCCGGCGGGGGCUGGCAGCACAUGGGGAGGCGGGCUGCGUGCACCGGCGCUGACAGGUGAGCAAAGCCCGGGUCAUCCCGGAAAGGGGUGGGGACCACGCUCGGCAGAGCGACCAAGGUCAGCAUGGCUGCUCCUCUGGGCCUGUGGGCAGCUGCCCUCAUCACCCUCGCGAUGCUGGCCAGGCCCCCAGGCAGGGAAGGUGCCUCCUCUAGUGGUUCAGGGAAUUGGGAACCAAACCAGACGUUGGCAUCUGCUCUGCGGGGGCAGGGAGAGGUGCAGGUGUCCCGGGCUCACCCAGGGCGGCAGCUGAGGUUGGUGUCGCGCAGCUUAUCCUGAGUCUGCCCCUGGUUCGGACCCGCGGAGCCUCCCCUGCCUCAGGCACGGCCCCCGGUGCUGUGACCUGCGUGAGGCUGCCUCACCCAUUGAAGGGAGCGAGCCUGCUACCCACACCCGGUGAGUGGAGGCCCCGGGCGCUGUGGACCAGCCACCAGGCUAGGACCCCCCAGCACAGAACGGUCAGCCUCCAGGACUCUGGGUGCACCGUGGCCAGGGGCCCCAUGAACGGAUGCGGAGGUUUCACAGCAGAGACCCUGGAGCCCUGCCUCAGCUCUCUGCCUGCCCACGGACACGUCCCCUGCCCGAGCUUCUCAGCCCCUGGCCGGCGACGUCCUCGGUCAGGACUGGGCAACACACUGGCUGUGGCUUCCGAAGCACCUUACGUCCGCCAGGUAAUUUAAGUUAUGGUUUCUUUAGCAAAACCCUCAGUCCUAUGGUGCAGUCUGCUGUGUGCCGACCAUUCUGGAAGGUGGAGAUGUGGGGCCGGCUGUAGGAAGGCCCCUUUACAGUGCAGGUGGAGGUGGGGGAGAGCUCGGCCCCAGGCGCCCCUUUCUGCGUCCCUGGGGCCACUUUCCGGAACAUUCCAUUGGAGAGCCAAGGCCUGUGGGAGAUCACGGCUAUACCCGCCUGAGGGACAGGACACCCAGGGAGGUCGGAUUUCGGGCAAACAGUGAGCUCCACCCAUUAUCCCGGGUGUGCCUGGGACCCAGGGCACCACUUACGGGGCAGCCAAAGCCAGGAGGGCGCGGUAAAGACUGGGUCUUGGUCCCAAGCAUGUCCAGGGGGGCAGCAGCCAGGACAGCCGAUCCCUGGGGUGGCCUCCAAGUCCUCCUUGGGGUUGGGCCAGAGCCUGGAAGGCACAAAGACCGCCCCAAAUAGGAGACCCUGGUCUGUCCGGCCUGGCCCGGCAGUGGGUGGCAGACAUAGAGCAGACCUCAUAAGGACCUUGUAAAGACGAGCCUGGAGGGCAGAGGUGGAAGGUCGGCAUGGGGUCCUCUGUCUCCCUAGAGGGCGCGGGGUGGCUCUUCCGGCUGGACCAUGGGGGCAUGCCCGGAGCCUGGGCAGGCUAGAGAGAAGGGAAGAAGGUAAACACAGCUGCGGAGGACAAGGGCCACCUGGAGGGAUGGCAGGCCCCUGAGUCACGCCCUGAUGACACGGGGGCCGCCAGCUGGGCCAGAGUGCUGUCCCUGCAUCCAGAGCCCCCGAGGAGGAGAGGAGGCCUCACAAACUCCACUGGCGCCUGCACCCCCCGAGUGCAGCUCCCCAAGACUCCCAGGGCCAGUCAGCGCCAUCCACCCUGUGUUCUUGCUUGCUCCUGUUGUGCCCAAGAUCGUGAAUCCGAGAAACCACCAAGGAGCCGACACCGAUGCAAACACACGAGGGUUUAUUUACAAGCUCGAGCUUGGGUCCAAGUGUACCCGACACAGCUGAGCAGGGGCUUGGACCCCGAGGGUCAUGGGAAACAUUUGAGGCUUUCUGUUUUGAAGAUGCGGCACUGAACACCUGGCUCCCUGUGGAUGGUUCCCUUAGGUCUCCCACGGUCAUGCCAGCAUCUCUCAGACGCCUGACUCCGCAUCGUGGAAAAUCUAAAAAGUUUGGUCUAAUAAUGAACAGUGUGUUACUGGCACAUCAGAGGACCUGCGGCGGACACUCCAACCGGGGGCGGUCACAGGGUAGGCUCUGGCCACCUGGGAAUGGUCUCCCAGCACGGGACCCUCCCUCCUGCACCUCAGGACCUGGAGGCCAGGGGUUCCUGGGGGGCGGGGGUCCCCCCUCGGGGUCGGAGGCAGGCUAGCCAGGGCUGCUGUGGGCAGGCAUGACUCACAGUGGCAGCACCCAGGCCCCAUCAGGCAUAUCAUGACGACAGCGGCUCCCGGGGAGGGUGCCCAUGUCACUCCCUCUCCCACACCCACACCCAGUUCCCCAACUCAUCCCCGCCAUGCCUGCCAUUUCCACUCCAGCCUGUGCGUCGGCACCAGGGGUGUCCCCAGCCAGCCCAUCCUUAUGCUGAGCUUAGGCUCUAAUUGUCCUAAGGGAAUCACAGUCCUUUUUCCUGUCUUACCGGUUUCUCAAAUGAUGAUUCUUGGGAUUCGGAGAAACAUCUGUAUUUCCCCAGAACCGGGAAGGAAUUGCAGGCAGCGCCACUGGUGGGCCAGCCCCAGAGGGCGGCGUGGGCAGCACACCACAGGCCUCACCGCACUCACCGCGGGAAUGGCCGUUCACGGAGACGGUGCCAAGGCAGAUCAGCCCCCCACCCCAGUCCCGGUCCCACCUUCCCAGGAUCUUAAAGGUCCUCUCCGCGGGCUCCAUGGAGCCAGUGGACCCUAAGGUCGACUCCACAGGGAGAAAUGAAGGGUUCUGUGUUGAUUUAUUUUUCAUUAAAAAAUAAAGGAGGGGCAGCCCCGGUGGCUCAGCGGUUUAGUGCCACCUUUGGCUUGGGGUGUGAUCCUGGGGACCCAGGAUCGAGUCCCACAUCGAGCUCCCU